rnacentral:misc_RNA from 1 species
GAUGAAGAACGUAGCAAAAUGCGAUAAGUAAUGUGAAUUGCAGAAUUCAGUGAAUCAUCGAAUCUUUGAACGCACAUUGCGCCCGCUGGUAUUCCGGCGGGCAUGCCUGUUCGAGCGUCAUUUCAACCAUCAAGCCCCAGGCUUGUGUUGGGGACCUGCGGCUGCCGCAGGCCCUGAAAACCAGUGGCGGGCUCGCUGUCACACCGGGCGUAGUAGAUUUUAUCUCGCUCAGGGCGUGCUGCGGGUUCCGGCCGUUAAAAAGCCUUUUUUACCCAAGGUUGACCUCGGAUCAGGUAGGAAGACCCGCUGAACUUAAGCAUAUCAAUAAGCGGAGGA